rnacentral:lncRNA from 1 species
CCCUCUCCAUGGGGGUGUGUUCCAGAGAGCUGUGACAUUUCAGCACCCCCUUAGUGUUUUCCUGAUUGCCCCUAUAUCAGGGUCACUGUCCAGCACACCACUGUCCUAGGGGUGUCAAUGCCCUGUGCUAGAGCAUCAGUAGUCUCCUAUUCCUUAUUUUUUCCAAGGGACGAGGUGGUGAAAUUUAGCAGGAAGUGCGGACCCUGGUGUGACUGAUGUCAUCAUGUUUGAAUUUUUCUGCUCAGAUUCUGGAAGGGCUGGAGGAAGUCGAGCUGCCUCAGACACCCCAGUACACAGACACCUUUAAUGACACCUCUGUUCACUGGUUCCCUGCACAAAAGCUGGAACAGCUCUCCAGGGAUGUGUGGGCAUUUGGGGAAGAACCAGAGUAUCAGGACUGCGAGGACCUUGAAAUCAUCAGGAAGAUAACGAUAGACCCUGUUGCUGACCUGCACUCACUACAGUGCACCUCACCAGCUGAGGUGCUUUUAGGAUGAUGUAUAGCCUGAGAACUCAGUGUGAAGACCGACACUGGUCAGCCAGGUGCGGUGGCACAUGCCUGUCAUCCCAGCAG